rnacentral:rRNA from 1 species
UACGGGGGGGGCAAGCGUUGUUCGGAAUUACUGGGCGUAAAGGGCGCGUAGGCGGUGCGGUAAGUCACCUGUGAAACCCCCGGGCUCAACCUGGGAAUGGCAGUGGAUACUGGCAAGCUAGAGUGCGGUAGAGGGGUGUGGAAUUCCCGGUGUAGCGGUGAAAUGCGUAGAGAUCGGGAGGAACACCAGUGGCGAAGGCGGCACCCUGGACCAGCACUGACACUGAGGCACGAAAGCGUGGGGAGCAAACAGG